GGCAAACGGGUGAGUAACACGUGCUUAAUCUGCCCUGGAGUGGGGGAUAACUGUUGAAAGGCAGAUAAUCCCGCACACGCUCUGAUUAAUGAGAAUAGUCAGAGGAAAGAUUUAUCGCUCCAGGAGGAGGGCGCGGCCUAUUAGUUAGUUGGUGAGGUAAUGGCUCACCAAGACGAUGAUGGGUAGCUGGUCUGAGAGGAUGAUCAGCCACAAUGGAACUGAGACACGGUCCAUACCCCUACGGGGGGCAGCAGUGGGGAAUCUUGCGCAAUGGACGAAAGUCUGACGCAGCCACUCCGCGUGGAGGAUGAAGCAUUACGGUGUGUAAACUCCUUUUUUGGGGGAUGACGACUGACAGUACCCCAAGAAUAAGGGACGGCUAACUACGUGCCAGCAGCCGCGGUAAUACGUAGGUCCCAAGCGUUAUCCGGAUUUACUGGGCGUAAAGCGUCCGUCGCCUGUUUAGUAAGUUCGCUUUCAAAUCCUGGAGCUCAACUCCAGAAAGGGAGCGAAUACUGCUUUACUAGAGAAAUGUAGGGGUUAGUAGAAUUUCAAGUGGAGGGGUGAAAUCCGUUGAUAUUUGAAGGAAUACCAAAAGCGAAGGCAGCUAACUAUACAUUUUCUGACGGUCAGGGACGAAAGCGCGGGUAGCAAACGGGAUUAGAUACCCCGGUAGUCCGCGCCGUAAAUGAUGCUCGCUAGAUGUUUCCCCUGUAUUGGGGGAGUGUCGUAAGCUAACGCGUUAAGCGAGCCGCCUGAGUAGUAUAGUCGCAAGGCUGAAACUCAAAGGGAUAGGCGGGGGAACACACAAGCAGUGGAUUGCCUCGAUUAAUUGGAUAAUAAGCCAAGAAUCUUACCUGGGCUUGACAUCCUCGGAAUUCUAUCGAAAGACUGAAGUGCCUGCUUGCAGGAACCGAGUGACAGGUGCUGCAUGGCCGUCGUCAGCUCGUGCCGCAAGGUGUCCGGUUAAGUCCGGAAACGAGCGCAACCCUCGUCGUUAGUUAGAAUGUCUAGCGAGACUGCCUCCGUAAGGAGGAGGAAGGAGAGGAUGACGUCAGGUCACUAUGGCCCUUAUGUCCAGGGCGUCAGAGACAAUACAAUGGGUAGUACAACAGGUAGCCAAACCGUGAGGUGGAGCCAAUCCCUAAAACUAUCCUCAGUGCGGAUCGAAGUCUGGAACUCGACUUCGUGAAGUUGGAAUUGCUAGUAAUGGCAGGUCAGCCAUACUGCCGUGAAUAUGUCCCUGUUCCUUGCACUCACCGCCCGUCAUACCAUGGAAGCUGG
rnacentral:rRNA from 1 species